ACCGGCGACCAUACCACGUCGAAAGCACCGGUUCUCGUCCGAUCACCGCAGUUAAGCAACGUUGGGCCUGGUCAGUACUUGCU
rnacentral:rRNA from 1 species